GGUGGGGUAGCUCAGAUGGUGAGAGCGGUGGAUUCAUAACCCACAGGUCGGGGGUUCAAGUCCCCCCCCCACCA
rnacentral:tRNA from 1 species